UACGUAGGCAGCAAGCGUUGUUCGGAAUUACUGGGCGUAAAGAGCUCGUAGGCGGCUUGUCGCGUCGAAUGUGAAAUCUCAGGGCUCAACUCUGACAUUGCAUUCGAUACGGGCAGGCUAGAGUUCGGUAGGGGAGACUGGAAUUCCUGGUGUAGCGGUGAAAUGCGCAGAUAUCAGGAGGAACACCGAUGGCGAAGGCAGGUCUCUGGGCCGAUACUGACGCUGAGGAGCGAAAGCGUGGGGAGCGAACAGG
rnacentral:rRNA from 1 species